rnacentral:rRNA from 1 species
GGCCCAGACUCCUACGGGAGGCAGCAGUGAGGAAUAUUGGUCAAUGGGCGGGAGCCUGAACCAGCCAAGUCGCGUGAGGGAAGACGGUCCUAUGGAUUGUAAACCUCUUUAGGCGGGGAGCAAUGCCGGGCACGCGUGUCCGGAGGGAGAGUACCCGCAGAAUAAGCAUCGGCUAACUCCGUGCCAGCAGCCGCGGUAAUACGGAGGAUGCGAGCGUUAUCCGGAUUUAUUGGGUUUAAAGGGUGCGUAGGCGGAUUUUUAAGUCAGCGGUAAAAUGUCCGGGCUCAACCCGGGCCGGCCGUCGAAACUGGGGAUCUUGAGUGGGCGAGAAGUAUGCGGAAUGCGUGGUGUAGCGGUGAAAUGCAUAGAUAUCACGCAGAACUCCGAUUGCGAAGGCAGCAUACCGGCGCUCAACUGACGCUGAGGCACGAAAGCGUGGGUAUCGAACAGGAUUAGAUACCCGUGUAGC